rnacentral:lncRNA from 1 species
CUCAAUAAUAAUAAUUAAUGAUAACUAGCAUUUCCAAAGUGCUUUGCAAAUAUCUUGUUUUAUCCUCAUAAUUCUGGGAAAUAGGUACCAUUAUGAUCCUUUUCUAACAGACGAGCAAACUGGGGUAAAUGACUUGACAUAGUGUUUGUGACCAAAUUUGAACCAGAUCUUUUUGAAUCCAGGCCCCAUGCUCUACCGUUGAACCUCUAGUUAUAUUGAAUUAGGAGUCUACCUGCAUAUUUGUAAAGGUCAGGACUCUUUCCACUUAGGUUUUUUUUUUUUUUUUCCAGCAAGGGGCAGCAUGACUCAAAGUUAACUAACAAAUACUCAGAAUACUGGGGAAAUUUCCAAAUAAGUGUAAACAUUGAAAUCCACCAAAACGACUUCUAUAGAUCUGUAACAUUAUCUAUAGUAUGCAGACACGAGACACACAAAUAUUUCUUUAAAAGGAAGAUGAAUAUAGAUGACUAAUUAAUUGCUUUCAGACAACUAGUUGGGGAAACCUUUAAGAGUUGAAAGAUAGUGCUUUGUCCAAUAGAAAAAGGAACAGAGAAGAUUCAAAAGGAACAGAAUAAGUGUUUCUUUGUUAAGUGGGAAGGAGAAAAAAAAGAAAGAAAAAGAAUCUUUAAAAGAGUAAUGCUUUUCAUCUUCAUCUUCUUCUUUUACUCUAAUCAGGGCAUAUCCUUUUUUGGACAGAUUCUCAGUUUGGUUAGUCAGUUAGUAAAUCUGUCAAUGAUCUUUUAAUAAACACUUUCUAUGUGGCAGGCACUGGGCUAUGCACUAGAUGGACAAAGACAAAAAUACAAACCCUGUCCUCAAGGAACUCAGAAUCUAACAGUGAAAAUAGAAUACAAACAGGAAGGUGUAACCAUAUGAGAUCUGCUGGAAGGAAGAUGAAUUUAGUCCUUCGCGCAGUGCCUGGAACAUACCUCACAACAAUCCUGGGAAGAAAGACUACAGAAAAUAUUAUCCCCUUUGAAAAAGUGGGGACACCAAGACUCUGAGAAACUCAGGAAGUCCAACAUGAUAAGAAUGAAAAACUGACCAGAGAGGAAGAUUGAAAAUCAGAGGCUACCACUCCCCAAGACCAAGGUUAACAACCCAUCAGUCCAAGACAAAGGAGAAGAUUGUUUUUCUAUGGGGGCUUGCCUGGAUUGUUUAUUUCUUCUCCUGAUACAUUGCUAUAUUUCUUGUCCAGACUACAGAAAUAAACUGAAAAUUGAUCUGCCUAUCA